rnacentral:rRNA from 1 species
CGGAACACGUACAGAACCUUCCUUUAAGCGGGGGAUAGCCCAUAGAAAUGUGGAUUAAUACCCCAUAGUAAUAUUGACUGGCAUCAGUUGGUAUUUAAAGAUUUAUCACUUAAAGAUGGCUGUGCGGCUGAUUAGGUAGUUGGUGCGGGUAAUGGCCCACCAAGCCUUCGAUCAGUAACUGGUGUGAGAGCACGACCAGUCACACGGGCACUGAGACACGGGCCCG